UGAGAGGCGGCGAGAGGAACGGCGAUCAAGUCUCCCUUAAUUCCUUGUCAACAGCUUGCUGAUCGACAUGAAAACACGCGCAGAGGGAAGUUUCGGACCUGCCGGCAGCUUGACUUGCGUCGUGCGUAAAACAGCCAGUGCGGGCGCCUCCGCAGCGUGCAGGCGAGCACAUUUAUGGAGCCACAGCUGCCCUAAAUCUUUGUGGCAAAACAAGUCAGCUUGUCCCGCUUGCAGACUUGAAUAGACUUCUUCUGGCGUCCUUGAUACGACUAGCUAAGCGUACGCCUCCAUGGCCUUCCUCUAACCAUCUGAUAGUUCUAUGUAGUGACAUUAGCAGAAAAGACUCCCGUAGAGGCGCUCCAUUAAUGUGCCACCUCUUUGCUAUCACAUGACAAUUGCCAUGGGAGAAAGGAGGGGAGGGGGGUGUAGGGGCGGGUGGGAGGAAGGCAUAAUCUGGUUUCAUUUACACCUAUUUACAUGGACACCUUGGGCCAAUGGAAAUCAUUUCCAUUUGAAGACAGAAAAAGGGGCGAAAAGACUCGGUUACCGGAACUGAACUGCGAUGGCACUCAGUGUGUGAAGAACUCAACGCAAACCAGGAAGUACCAAAUAUUGCAGUACCUCAAAAGAGCACAGGAGUACAGAUUGCAAACAUGACAAGAGGUCAAAUAUCUGCAAGGGAAAAAGGAGAGGAACAACUGUUCCACCAAGCUGCUUUGGUCACAGCUGGUGUACACACGGACGAGUAUUCACCUGAACGAGGACUGAUAAUCACCCCGCACCGAAAGUGAAUAAUUAGUGCAAUAAUUACCAGGCUUAAAAGAAGCUGCUCGCUGCCCUCUCUCGCAGUGCCAUCCAGAAUAACAGGUGUUCCCAGUGCCUCGAAGGGACAGAGAUUAAAGAUUAUUUCGUUAUCCUGGGUCUCUUUCGGGCACAACUGUCUUGUGUUUUAUCCUGUCAACCGCAGCAAGACUCGUGUGGGGGCUCAUUUUCCUCUGGCUUGGCAGUUUUGGGAGCCGGCCGUUUGACAAAGAGUGAAUGUUGUUUAAUCUGGGACUAUGAGGUGUCCUUGAGCAUCCUGGAUGUUUUCACAUGUCCUGCAGCUUCAUGGAGUAAAGCAGCAAUCAUGUUUUUAUUUUUUUGAUACAAUGUAAAGUGACGUUAAAAAUAUGCAUUUUUAUUUUUUCCAGAUUUAUUAUAAACUUAAGAAAUGUAACAGCCCCACUACAUCCAUUCCUCCAAUAGUGACCAACAAAUUGAUGCCUCUAAUUUUCUGUCAAAUUCUGCUAAAAAAAUUAAACUGGUGGAUGCGUUCUAUGUUUUGACUAAAGCAAUGAAGCAAGUGAGCCUAAGGGUGUUUGUUCUUGUAAGAAUUACUUAAAGACUUGUCAAGAUGCCACAAUUCAAGCUUGGGCUCCCAGGCUCUUUUGGUGUUGGUUAUUCAGACUUCCUGUGUGUUUUUGAAAUUGCUACAGCAGGUGCAACACACAUUUAGAAGCCAGCACAUUCCAUGUUUGUUUCUCAUGCCUAAAGUGUAUUUUUUUGUGUUUUUAAUCUGAGAAAAUCGUGAAAAGCUUCUGAAAGUAGUCUGUAAAAGGUCAACAUGUUUUCGGAAACACAUCUGGAGCUGUUGUGGCACGUGGUUUUUGCUCUACACAAAAAGAAUCUGCCACAGAAAUAACCGUUUAAAGGAAGAUUCCUGCUGCUUUCAUUCAGCGGUGACUGGAAUAUGUGAAUGUCUAUUCAAAAUCAAGAUGAAUGUGUGGUUGAAGAAGACAUUGGUUGAAUAUAGUAUCAGCGUGACAUGCUGCACUUCAUCUUUUGCACUGCCCUGUUGUCUUAUAAUGUUAUACCAUUAGUUUCCCUGACAUUGAUUUAGCAUUCAGCCAUCUUCCCCAUUGACCUGUGCUGUGUUUAAAAGUAACCUUCUUUUAGCCCUACCCAUCAUCCGUCACCUUUGAGCUGUCAAGAACACACAAAUUGAACACAGCCUACCAUGGCCACCUGACAGCAAGACACAGAGGGCUACCAAGCAGAGACAUGGAAAUCAGCUGCAUCUAUCACAUUAACGUGGUCUGGGAAGGUUAGCGAUAUGUUCCUGAAAGAUUACCGCCUCUAAUUUCUUCGGGGAGCGUGGGACCUUGGUUCUGCUGCCAAGUCGGCUU
ensembl:lncRNA